CAACAGGGAUUGCCCUAGUAACGGCGAGUGAAGCGGCAACAGCUCAAAUUUGAAAUCUGGCUUCGGCCCGAGUUGUAAUUUGCAGAGGAUGUUUCUGGCGCGGUGCCUUCCGAGUUCCCUGGAACGGGACGCCACAGAGGGUGAGAGCCCCGUAUGGUUGGACACCAAGCCUGUGUGAAACUCCUUCGACGAGUCGAGUAGUUUGGGAAUGCUGCUCUAAAUGGGAGGUAAAUCUCUUCUAAAGCUAAAUACCGGCCAGAGACCGAUAGCGCACAAGUAGAGUGAUCGAAAGAUGAAAAGCACCUUGAAAAGGGGGUUAAACAGUACGUGAAAUUGUUGAAAGGGAAGCGCUCAUGACCAGACUUGUGCCGGGCGGUUCAUCCGGGGUUCUCCCCGGUGCACUCCGCCCGGUUCAGGCCAGCAUCGGUUCUCGUUGGGGGAUAAGAACGGUAGGAACGUGGCCCUCCUUCGGGGGGGUGUUAUAGCCUGCCGUACGAUACCCUGACGGGGACCGAGGUUCGCGCUCCGCAAGGAUGCUGGCGUAAUGGUCAUCAGCGACCCGUCUUGAAACACGGACCAAGGAGUCGCCCAUUAGAGCGAGCGUUUGGGUGUAAAACCCGCACGCGUAAUGAAAGUGAAAUUAGGUGAGAGCUUCGGCGCAUCAUCGACCGAUCCUGAUGUUCUCGGAUGGAUUUGAGUAAGAGUUUUAACGGACGGACCCGAAAGACAGUGAACUAUGCUUGUAUAGGGUGAAGCCAGAGGAAACUCUGGUGGAGGCUCGCAGCGGUUCUGACGUGCAAAUCGAUCGUCAAAUAUGAGCAUGGGGGCGAAAGACUAAUCGAACUGUCUAGUA
rnacentral:rRNA from 1 species